ACUUUUAAUAACAGAUCUCUUAGUUCUAGCAUUAAUAAAGAAUAUAGCAAAAUGCAAUAAGUAGUAUAAAUUAUAGAAUUUAGUAAAUUAUUAAAUCUUUAAAUGCAUAUUACGCCUCUUAGUAUUCUAUAGAGUAUGCCUAUUUAAGCGUUAUUUAUACCCUUAAGCUUUGCUUAGUAUUAGGUAUUUAUCUUCUUCUUAGUAGUUAGACUCGCCUUAAAAUAAUUAGCAGCUAGUAUUUUAGUAUAGAAGCGCAGCAUAAGUCGCGAUUCUUGCUCUAAUACUUAUAUCUAGAAGCCUUUUUUUAACUUUUAACCUUAGAUUAGAUAGAGAUACCUACUAAACUUAAGCAUAUUAAUAAGCAGAGAAAAAGAAACUAAUAAAGAUUACUCUAGUAAUAGCAAGUAAAGCGAUAAUAGCUUAAAUUUAAAAUCUAGCUCUUUUAGAGUCUAAGUUAUAAUUUGCAGAGAGCGCUUUAGCAUUAGCAGCAGUCUAAGUUCUUUAGAAUAGAAUAUUAUAGAGAGUAAGAAUCUUAUAUAUAGUCGCUAGCCUUUGCUAUAUAAAGCCUCUUCGAUAAGUUGAGUUAUUUAGGAAUAUAGCUCUAAAUAGAAGAUAAAUUUCUUCUAAAGCUAAAUACUAGCUAGAGACUAAUAGCGUAUAAGUAGAGUAAUUAAAAGAUAAAAAGCACUUUAGAAAGAGAGUUAAAUAGCAUAUAAAAUUAUUAAAAGAGAAGCGCUUAUAGCUAGACUUAUCUAUAGUUGCUUAUCUAGACUUUUAUCUAGUAUACUCUUCUACGGGUAGGCUAGCAUUAGUUUAGGCAGUUAGAUAAAGAUCUCUAUUAUAUAUCUUCUUUUAGAGAGGCCUUAUAGAGAAGAUAAUAUAUAACUAGCCUAGACUAAGAUCCGCGCAUCUACUAGAAUGCUAGUAUAAUAGCUAUAAGCAGCUUAUCUUAAAAUAUAGACUAAGAAGUCUAAUAUCUAUAUAAGUAUUUAGAUAUUAAGCCUAGACGCGUAAUAAAAGUAAAUAGAGAUAGGAACCUUUUAGAUGCACUAUUAACUAAUCCUAAUAUCUUUAGAAGAAUUUAAGUAAGAGCAUAGCUAUUAGAACCUAAAAGAUAGUAAACUAUGCUUAAAUAGAGUAAAGCUAGAGGAAACUCUAGUAGAGGCUUAUAGCAGUUCUAAUAUGCAAAUUAAUUAUUAAAUUUAGGCAUAGAAGCGAAAGACUAAUUAAACUAUCUAGUAGCUAGUUCCUACUAAAGUUUUUCUUAGAAUAGUAAUAACGUAUUUAGUUUUAUAAGAUAAAGCGAAUAAUUAGAAGCCUAGAAGUUAAAACAACCUUUAUCUAUUCUUAAACUUUAAAUAUAUAAGAAGUUCUUAUUACUUAAUUAAAUAUAGAUACUUAAAUAUACUAUUACUAGUAGGCUAUUUUUAGUAAGUAGAACUAGCGAUAUAGGAUAAACUAAAUAUAAGAUUAAGAUACUAGAAUAUACGCUUAUUAGAUACUAUAAAAGAUAUUAGUUUAUCUAGAUAGCAGAACUAUAGCUAUAGAAGUUAGAAUUCGCUAAGAAGUAUAUAAUAACUUAUCUGCUAAAUAAACUAGCCCUAAAAAUAGAUAGCGCUUAAGCAUAUUAUCUAUACCUUGCUACUAAGGCAGAACUUAAGCCUUAGCAAGUAGGCAGGCGUAGAGGCUUAUAACGAAGCCUUAGAGGUAACUCUAGAUCAAAUAGUCUCUAGUAUAGAUCUUAGUAGUAGUAGCAAAUACUUAAAUAAGAACUUUAAGAACUAAAGUAGAGAAAGAUUCUAUAUAAAUAGUAGUUAGAUAUAGGUUAGUUAAUUCUAAGAGAUAGAGUAGUUCUAUUUUAAUAUUAGCGCUUAUACUAUGCUCUUAAAAGAGAAGCUAGUUAAUAUUUUAGUAUCUAGAUAUAGAUUCUCUGCAGCAACGCAACUAAGAGCAGAGAUCUUAGCAGAAGCUCUAAGAAGAGUUCUCUUUUCUUCUUAAUAGUCUAUUACCUUAAAAUUAGUUUAUCUAAAGCUAGAGUUUAAUAGCUAGAAAAGCGCUGCACUUUUGCAGUAUUUAGUACGCUCCUAAUAAGCCUUAAAAAUCUGCUUAAAGAAAUAGUUUUUAUACUAGGUUAUACUUAUAACUAUAGCAGGUCUCUAAGAUAAAAAGCCUCUAGUUAAUAGAAUAAUAUAGAUAAGAGAAGUUAGCAAAAUAGAUCUAUAACUUUAGAAAAAGAAUUAGCUCUAAAGGUUAGGUAUAUUAGGCCUUAGAGAGAAGCCUCUAGCGCAGAAGAGUACUAGCUGCAAGAUAGGCGCCUUUUAGCGCUAGAGUAUAGAUAUCCUUAGCAGGCUUUAGCUAUCUAGCGUAUGUUUAAUAACUAACUUAGAACUAGUAUAGAUAAGAGAAAUCUAACUAUCUAAUUAAAAUAUAGCAUUAUAAUAGCUAGAAAGUAGUAUUAACGCAAUAUAAUUUCUGCCUAGUACUCUAAAUAUUAAAGCGAAGAGAUUCGACUAAGCGCGAGUAAAUAGCGAAGUAACUAUAACUCUCUUAAGAUAGCUAAAUAUCUUAUUAUCUAAUUAGUAACGCGCAUAAAUAGAUUAAUAAGAUUUCUACUAUCUCUAUCUACUCUCUAGCAAAACUAUAGCUAAGAGAAUAGGCUCAGCCAAAUUAGUAGAGAAAGAAAACUAUAUUAAGCUUAACUCUAGUUUAAUAUUAUAAAAAGAUAUAGAGAGUAUAGAAUAGAUAGAAGCUUUAGCGCUAGUAAAAUACUACUACUCUUAUUAUUUUUUUACUUAUUUAAUAAAG
rnacentral:rRNA from 1 species